UGUUACCGUGGUGUUAGUGAUAAAUAAAUUUGUUAUCAAUAGGUUAUUUCUUGGCCGUAGCGGCAGAGAUUUUAAGUAAAUGAGCAUAGGCUACAGGUGGGGAAAUAUCGUCAGGUGUGAAUAAGCACGAAGAAGUGAUGUGGCAAAGUUGAGACCGUUAUACGAACAACCAGAGUACAAUGCUGGGCGGCCUGUUGGACUUACGAUCAAUAAAUUUGAUCAAUUUCCUGUUUACGCAGCUUAUCGUUGUAAUUGUAGUUUUGGGAGUUCUCAUUGCCACGAUAGAAAAAUAUCUGCCUUCGGCUAUCAGCCAAACAUUUCGUUACGGGAAACAUGCCCAUAAAGGACAAGCCGAUCGUUUUGUUUCACUUCUGGAAGUGCCAAAGUCCUGGUUCAAGCAUUUCUACAUUUUCGCAGCGCUAUGGUCAGCAUCAGCAUUUUAUUUCAUGGUCAAUGCCUACUUUGCUGGGAAAGUGACACCUGGAUAUGUGAUAGAUUUUUUGGAUAUUAUGGCCACUACGAAAAGAACUGUUCGAACAAGUCCAACCGAAACGAUGGUUGCCCUUAUGCUGAUCACCAUGCAAUGCUGGCGCCGCUUCUAUGAGACUUGGUUCGUUCAGGUGUUUUCGAAUCGGUUGAAGAUAAACUUAUCUGCGUAUCUUGUCGGAUAUGUUCACUACUUCGGCACGAUAGUGGUUAUCCUUUCGCAGGCAGAAGGUUUCGUACGGACGGACGGUUCAUUGCUUCCGUAUCGGUUCGAGCUUUCCCCUCGGAUUGCGCUCUGGGUGGCAAUAUUUUUCUACGCCUGGCAGUAUCAGUUCCAGUCGAACCUGAUUCUGGCCAACAUGCGAAAGGAUCGUACCGGACAGGUCGUCAGUCAGAAACAUUCCAUUCCGCGGGGCGGUUACUUCGAACUGAUCUCCUCACCGCACAUGUUCUUCGAGAUUGUGAUGUACGUUGCGUUGUAUGUGAUCAUCGCUCGCAACACGUCAGCCAUCUACGUGCUCGCCUGGGUACUCUCGAAUCAGGUGAUGAAUGCCUGGCUGACGCACCAGUGGUACCGGGAGAACUUUAAGGACUAUCCACCGGCGAGACGUGCCGUUUUUCCGUACGUGCUGUGAUGGAAGCGGUACGCAAUCAACUGCAGGAGUUCCACAAGGCAGUGAUAUCCCAACCAACCAAAAGUUCGGAUAAAAGGGACUGUUUUUGCUUUAGCAGCUCUCAAAGGACUCGUUUGUAAAACCACAAAAGGACGUGAUACGAAAAAGAAAAAUGCUCAAACAAAAACCGAUGUUUUUUUUUCCGCGACUGUUGGAAUGUUGGCGUUUCAAUAAAUCAGUUUUAUUUAUUUUCAAUAGAUCACAAAAGUGCUCAUG